rnacentral:rRNA from 1 species
UACGUAGGGUGCGAGCGUUGUCCGGAAUUAUUGGGCGUAAAGAGCUUGUAGGCGGUUUGUCGCGUCUGCCGUGAAAAUUCGAGGCUCAACCUCGAACUUGCGGUGGGUACGGGCAGACUAGAGUGUGGUAGGGGAGACUGGAAUUCCUGGUGUAGCAGUGAAAUGCGCAGAUAUCAGGAGGAACACCGAUGGCGAAGGCAGGUCUCUGGGCCACUACUGACGCUGAGAAGCGAAAGCAUGGGGAGCGAACAGG